UGUUGUGGCCGCCAUGGGCAAGAGUCGUUCGCGGGCGGCCAAGAAGGUAAGCGUCUUCCAUAUCGCCCACAGCGGUGCCGUCAAGGCCAAGACCAAGGGCAAGGCGCGAGCCGUCACCUCCGGGCUGAAGCAGAUAAACAUUAGAAACGUUGAGAAAGUUAGCACAAUAAAUAAAGCAUUUGCUGAAGUUCAGAAGGAAAUACAGCACCUAUCAAAAGGCAAUGCAGCAGAGCCUCAGAAGAAUCAAAAGGGCUAUGUGCAGCCUCGUGCAAGAAGUAAUUAACUGAUGAGCUCUCCUCUACUGGUUCUUUAUGCUAACUGAUGCUCCUGGCAUGGUUUGGGGGAGGGAGAAAGCAGAGGGCUGGGAUAAGAUUUCCACAAAUCUGGAAGAGGAACCAGCAAAC